rnacentral:tRNA from 1 species
AUUUAUAUAGUAUAUCAAUUACAAUUGAUUUCCAAUCAAAUAAUCUAGUAUAUUCUAGUAUAAAUA